CCCUUAGAUGUCCUGGACCGUACGCGCGCUACACUGACAUGUUCAACAAGCCUCCUAGUUCGACAGGAUUUGGGAAAUCUUUGAACGCAUGUCGUGAUAGGGAUAGAUCAUUGCAAUUAUUGAUCUUGAACGAGGAAUUCCUAGUAAACGCGAGUCAUCAGCUCGCAUUGAUUACGUCCCUGCCCUUUGUACACACCGCCCGUCGCACCUACCGAUUGAAUGUUUCGGUGAAGAUUCCGGAUAGGACUUUUUUGAUUUAUUUCAAUUUUGUCUUAAAAGCUAUCUAAACCUCAACAUUUAGAGGAAGGUGAAGUCGUAACA
rnacentral:rRNA from 1 species